CUACGGGAGGCAGCAGUGAGGAAUCUUGGACAAUGGGCGAAAGCCUGAUCCAGCAAUACCACGUGAGUGAUGAAGGCCUUCGGGUUGUAAAGCUCUUUUAGUAGGGAAGAUAAUGACGGUACCUACAGAAAAAGCACCGGCUAAUUCCGUGCCAGCAGCCGCGGUAAUACGGAAGGUGCUAGCGUUGUUCGGAUUUAUUGGGCGUAAAGCGUACGUAGGCGGUUUAGUGUGUUAGAUGUGAAAGCCCAGAGCUUAACUUUGGAAUUGCAUUUAAAACUGCUAGACUUGAACAUAACAUGGGAUGGUGGAAUUUCUAGUGUAGGGGUGAAAUCCGUAGAUAUUAGAAGGAACACCAGUAGUGCAGACGACCAUCUUGGUUAUUGUUGACGCUGAGGUACGAAAGCGUGGGUAGCAAACAGGAUUAGAUACCCGUGUAGUC
rnacentral:rRNA from 1 species